rnacentral:rRNA from 1 species
AGUGAACGCUGGCGGUAGGCCUAACACAUGCAAGUCGAACGGCAGCACAGUAAGAGCUUGCUCUUACGGGUGGCGAGUGGCGGACGGGUGAGGAAUACAUCGGAAUCUACUUUUUCGUGGGGGAUAACGUAGGGACACUUACGCUAAUACCGCAUAUGACCUACGGGUGAAAGCAGGGGAUCUUCGGACCUUGCGCGAUUGAAUGAGCCGAUGUCGGAUUAGCUAGUUGGCGGGGUAAAGGCCCACCAAGGCGACGAUCCGUAGCUGGUCUGAGAGGAUGAUCAGCCACACUGGAACUGAGACACGGUCCAGACUCCUACGGGAGGCAGCAGUGGGGAAUAUUGGACAAUGGGCGCAAGCCUGAUCCAGCCAUACCGCGUGGGUGAAGAAGGCCUUCGGGUUGUAAAGCCCUUUUGUUGGGAAAGAAAAGCAGCAGGUGAAUACCCCGCUGUUCUGACGGUACCCAAAGAAUAAGCACCGGCUAACUUCGUG